UAAAGUGGCGAACGGCUGAGUAACACGUGGGCAACCUGCCCUUUGCACUGGGAUAGCCUCGGGAAACCGAGGUUAAUACCGGAUACUCCAUAUUUGUCGCAUGGCGAAUAUGGGAAAAGCUCCGGCGGCAAAGGAUGGGCCCGCGGCCUGUUAGCUAGUUGGUGGGGUAGUGGCCUACCAAGGCAAUGAUGGGUAGCCGGGUUGAGAGACCGACCGGCCAGAUUGGGACUGAGACACGGCCCAGACUCCUACGGGAGGCAGCAGC
rnacentral:rRNA from 1 species